rnacentral:ncRNA from 1 species
AAAUUGGCUCAACCGAAGAUAGGGUCCAGCAGCUGGAAGAGCAUCGCACGUAUUGCGGUGUCCGGUGCACCCUCGGUGGCCCUUGAAAAUCUGGAGGACUGAGUACUAUCCAUGCCCGGUCGUACUCAUAAUCGCAUCAGGUCUCCAAGGUGAACAACCUCUGGUCAAUAGAACAAUGUAGGUAAGGAAAGUCGACAAAACAGAUUCGUAACUUCGGGAAAAGGAUUGGCUCUAAGCGUUGGGCCUAGGGGUCUAUGUCCUCAACCCAUGGGCCGUGGGCAGUCUGCCCGAGCUGCUAUCGCGGCGAGGGUGGGCAGUCGCAUGCCGAUUGGGCUACGGACGUAGAAUGUCCUCUCGCGGGGGCUUUUCCUUAGGCAGCGAACAGUCGACUCAGAACUAGUACGGAUAGGGGGAAUCCGACUGUUUAAUUAAAACAAAGCAUUGCGAUGGUCCCUGCGGAUGCUGACACAAUGUGAUUUCUGCCCAGUGCUUUGAAUGUCAAAGUGAAGAAAUUCAACCAAGCACGGGUAAACGGUGGGAGUAACUAUGACUCUCUUAAGGUAGCCAAAUGCCUUGUCAUCUAAUUAGUGACGCGCAUGAAUGGAUUAACAAUAUUCCCACUGUCCCUAUAUACUAUCAAGCGAAACCACAUCCAAGGGAAUGGGCUUGGCAGAAUCAGCGGGGAAAGAAGACCCUGUUGAGCUUGACUCUAGUCCGACUUUGUGAAAUGACUUGAGAUGUGUAGACUUAGUGGGAGCCGUUUUUGGCGCAAGUGAAAUACCACUACUUUUAAUGUUAUUUUACUUAUUCCGUGGGGCGGAGACGGGGAAUUGCCCCUAUUUUUGGCCUUAAGACACGUUUCGAUGGGUCGAUCCGGGCGGAAGACAUUGUCAGGUGGGGAGUUUGGCUGGGGCGACACAUCUGUUAAAAGAUAAUG